UACGAAGGGGGCUAGCGUUGUUCGGAAUUACUGGGCGUAAAGCGCGCGUAGGCGGCUUUGUAAGUUAGAGGUGAAAGCCCGGAGCUCAACUCCGGAACUGCCUUUAAGACUGCAUCGCUAGAAUUGUGGAGAGGUAAGUGGAAUUCCGAGUGUAGAGGUGAAAUUCGUAGAUAUUCGGAAGAACACCAGUGGCGAAGGCGACUUACUGGACACAUAUUGACGCUGAGGUGCGAAAGCGUGGGGAGCAAACAGG
rnacentral:rRNA from 1 species